rnacentral:sRNA from 1 species
GGCAGUUGAUGGUGGGCUGGAGAGGGCAGUUUAGAGCAGAAAAGGGGCUAAGUUGAAUGGAUCGCAGCAGUUACCAUUGCUGCUGGGACAGCUGCAAUUGGUUAUCUAGCUUACAAAAGAUUUUAUGUUAAAGAUCAUCGAAAUAAAGCUAUGAUAAACCUUCACAUCCAGAAAGACAACCCCAAGAUAGUACAUGCUUUUGACAUGGAGGAUUUGGGAGAUAAAGCUGUGUACUGCCGUUGUUGGAGGUCCAAAAAGGUUGGUUACAUCAUUUGCUGAGUUGUAUGAUGGCCACCUAGGAGGCAGUUCAAACAAGGACAGCAAAAGAAUACAGACUAAGAAGAAAGAGAGGAAAGUCUUACCAGUUAACAUCAGGAGCUCAACUGAAAUUGAAAUGAAAUGCAACUGGACAUAUUUAGACUCAUUUUCUUUCAUUUACAGUUUCCCAUUCUGUGAUGGGGCUCACACAAAACAUAACGAAGAGACUGGAGACAAUGUGGGCCCUCUGAUCAUCAAGAAAAAAGAAACUUAAAUGGACACUUUUGAUGCUGCAAAUCAGCUUGUCGUGAAGUUACCUGAUGGUUUAAUUAGAAUGACUACCACCUCUGUCUGAUUCACCUUCGCUGGAUUCUAAAUGUGGUAUAUUGCAAACUGCAGCUUUCACAUUCAUGGCAUUUGUCUUGUUGAAACAUCGUGGUGCACAUUUGUUUAAACAAAAAAAAAAAAAAGAAAAACCAACCUCAUGGCCUGUGGGUUAUUUUGGUCUUGUAAGGAUCCGUUUCUUUAAAAUACUGACAUAUAGAGUUGUACCUUACAUAGAAUAUAGUUGUAUCUUGAAGUCAACAUAUUAAAUUAUUCUCAAAAUUAUGUAUUUGC